UACGUAGGGUGCGAGCGUUGUCCGGAAUUAUUGGGCGUAAAGAGCUCGUAGGCGGUUUGUCGCGUCGACUGUGAAAACCCGAGGCUUAACCUCGGGCCUGCAGUCGAUACGGGCAGACUAGAGUUCGGUAGGGGAGACUGGAAUUCCUGGUGUAGCGGUGAAAUGCGCAGAUAUCAGGAGGAACACCGGUGGCGAAGGCGGGUCUCUGGGCCGAUACUGACGCUGAGGUGCGAAAGCGUGGGGAGCAAACAGG
rnacentral:rRNA from 1 species